rnacentral:lncRNA from 1 species
CGCCGCUCGGCCCGCGUUUCCCUCGGCUCUUGGUUCCGAAGUGGGGAUGGUGGCCGGGGCUGACCUACGUGGUAAAUGGAUUUUGUAUGUGGAGUACAAGAAAGAAAACGUCCCAGAACACAUUGGUAGAAAGCUGAGUAUUCCGGAAGAGGUUUACAGUACAGUUCAGCUUUUACACACACAUGUAGCCAGCAGUAUGAGAAGUUUGGCCAUUCUUCAGCAUCGGUGUUGUCCUUAGCCACUAAACACAGAUGAAGCUCUGCAGUAGGCCGUUCUGUUCCUGCCAGGCUAUAAGGAAAUCUGCAGUUAUCACCUCUGUAAACUGGAAAGUUUAGCCCACGGCAGCUACCUACGAGGGAGAAGAUUAUACGAGCAGUCUCCCUCUUCCCCCAAUUAGAUGAGAACUGUUGUACGGUCUGUUUAAAAAUCAGAAUGUGUGGUACUGAGGUUCUGAUUAAAAGGCUUCUACACGAGAAGUAUUGAUUAUAUUUGUGUUGUUGCUG